UACGAAGGGGGCUAGCGUUGUUCGGAAUUACUGGGCGUAAAGCGCACGUAGGCGGAUUGUUAAGUCGGGGGUGAAAUCCUGAGGCUCAACCUCAGAACUGCCUUCGAUACUGGCAAUCUCGAGUCCGGAAGAGGUUGGUGGAACAGCUAGUGUAGAGGUGAAAUUCGUAGAUAUUCGCAAGAACACCAGUGGCGAAGGCGGCUCACUGGCCCGGUACUGACGCUGAGGCACGAAAGCGUGGGGAGCAAACAGG
rnacentral:rRNA from 1 species